rnacentral:rRNA from 1 species
AGUGAACGCUGGCGGUAGGCCUAACACAUGCAAGUCGAACGGCAGCACAGUAAGAGCUUGCUCUUACGGGUGGCGAGUGGCGGACGGUUGAGGAAUACAUCGGAAUCUACUUUUUCGUGGGGGAUAACGUAGGGAAACUUACGCUAAUACCGCAUACGACCUACGGGUGAAAGCAGGGGAUCUUCGGACCUUGCGCGAUUGAAUGAGCCGAUGUCGGAUUAGCUAGUUGGUGGGGUAAAGGCCCACCAAGGCGACGAUCCGUAGCUGGUCUGAGAGGAUGAUCAGCCACACUGGAACUGAGACACGGUCCAGACUCCUACGGGAGGCAGCAGUGGGGAAUAUUGGACAAUGGGCGCAAGCCUGAUCCAGCCAUACCGCGUGGGUGAAGAAGGCCUUCGGGUUGUAAAGCCCUUUUGUUGGGAAAGAAAAGCAGCAGGUUAAUACCCCGCUGUUCUGACGGUACCCAAAGAAUAAGCACCGGCUAACUUCGUG